AUUUUCUUCUGCUGCCUGCUUCAACAAGAUUGGCAGGGGAGUUCUUUUUUCUGUGGGUUGACCUGCUUUUCUUUCUGUUGAAACAAAAACACUGGUGUAAUGACUUGUUUUGGUCUCUGCUUAGGAGGGAAGGCAUCUCCCCGUCACAACCAUGUAGUAGAAAUUGAUGAAGAAAUUUCAACCAUUGAGAAUGCAAGGGUGUACAGCUACCGGGAAUUGCGUGCUGCAACCGAAGAUUUUUGCCCUGUAAACAAAAUAGGGAAAGGAGGGUUUGGUUCUGUCUACAAGGGGAGGCUAAGAGAUGGAAAAAUGGCUGCUAUUAAGGUACUUUCUGUUGAAUCAAAACAAGGUGUAAAGGAGUUUUUGACAGAAAUAAAGGUGAUCUCAAAUAUAGAACAUGAAAACCUGGUGAAUUUGUACGGUUGUUGUGCGGAAGGGGAUCAUAGAAUAUUGGUGUAUAACUACCUGGAAAAUAAUAGUCUUUCCCAAACUCUGCUUGGUGGUGCACAUAGUAGCCUCCAGUUUAGCUGGAUAACACGAACUAAGAUAUGCAUUGGUGUUGCACGAGGACUUGCAUUCCUCCACGAAGAAGUCCAGCCUUAUAUAGUUCAUAGAGACAUUAAAG
rnacentral:misc_RNA from 1 species